GACGAACGCUGGCGGCGUGCCUAAUACAUGCAAGUAGAACGCUGAAGAGAGGAGCUUACUCUUCUUGGAUGAGUUGCGAACGGGUGAGUAACGCGUAGGUAACCUGCCUUGUAGCGGGGGAUAACUAUUGGAAACGAUAGCUAAUACCGCAUAACAAUGGAUGACACAUGUCAUUUAUUUGAAAGGGGCAAUUGCUCCACUACAAGAUGGACCUGCGUUGUAUUAGCUAGUAGGUGAGGUAAUGGCUCACCUAGGCGACGAUACAUAGCCGACCUGAGAGGGUGAUCGGCCACACUGGGACUGAGACACGGCCCAGACUCCUACGGGAGGCAGCAGUAGGGAAUCUUCGGCAAUGGGGGCAACCCUGACCGAGCAACGCCGCGUGAGUGAAGAAGGUUUUCGGAUCGUAAAGCUCUGUUGUAAGUCAGGAACGGGUGUGAGAGUGGAAAGUUCACACUGUGACGGUAGCUUACCAGAAAGGGACGGCUAACUACGUG
rnacentral:rRNA from 1 species